GGUUCAGGAUGAACGCUAGCGGCAGGCUUAACACAUGCAAGUCGAGGGGCAGCGCGAGUAGCAAUACUUGGCGGCGACCGGCGCAAGGGUGCGUAACGCGUGAGCAACAUGCCCGUAUCAGGGGGAUAAUCCAGGGAAACUUGGUCUAAUACCCCAUAGUAAUUUUGUAAGGCAUCUUAUAAGAUUUAAAGCUUUGGUGGAUACGGAUUGGCUCGCGUGACAUUAGCUGGAUGGUAAGGUAACGGCUUACCAUGGCUAUGAUGUCUAGGGGUUCUGAGAGGAAUGUCCCCACACUGGAACUGAGACACGGUCCAGACUCCUACGGGAGGCAGCAGUGAGGAAUAUUGGACAAUGGAUGGAAAUCUGAUCCAGCCAUGCCGCGUGAAGGAAGAAGGUCCUAUGGAUUGUAAACUUCUUUUGUAUGGGAGCAAUAAGGCCUACGAGUAGGUUGAUGAGAGUACCAUACGAAUAAGCACCGGCUAACUCCGUGCCAGCCGCCGC
rnacentral:rRNA from 1 species